rnacentral:tRNA from 4 species
GGAGUGGUAUCGAAGCGGUCAUAACGAGCACGACUGGAAAUCGUGUGACGGUCAAAAGCCGUCCGAGGGUUCGAAUCCCUCCCACUCCGCCA